UUGAUGGGGUAAGGCUCCCAGUAGACGACUGGGUUGAUAGGCCGGAUAUGGAAGCCAGGUGACUGGUGGAGUUGACCGGUACUAAUAGGCCGAGGGCUUGUCCUCAGUUG
rnacentral:rRNA from 1 species